rnacentral:rRNA from 1 species
UACGUAGGGUGCGAGCGUUGUCCGGAAUUAUUGGGCGUAAAGAGCUCGUAGGCGGUGUGUCACGUCGUUCGUGAAAACCUGCAGCUUAACUGUGGGCGUGCGGUCGAUACGGGCAUCACUGGAGUUCGGCAGGGGAGACUGGAAUUCCUGGUGUAGCGGUGAAAUGCGCAGAUAUCAGGAGGAACACCAAUGGCGAAGGCAGCUCGCUGGAACGGUACUGACGCUGAGGCGCGAAAGCGUGGGGAGCGAACAGG